rnacentral:lncRNA from 1 species
ACGCGGACCGCGCCAGGCGGAAGCCCGGCUCCGGGCCAGGAUCUGAGAGCCCGGACUGGAGGUGAGUUCGCAGCCGGAGCGUUGCAGGCACUUGUUUCCUCAGUGGAUGCUUUUCGGCGUGCCGCCGCCCGGCGCCGCGGGACUGGGAGACCGGGAAUUGAGAAGAGGAGGAAGAAUAAUGGGAGGAGACAGGACCUUUUUCAACUUGACUAAUAGAUUUCUGAGAGAGCAGACACCAUCUUAUUUCUGUUGAAUUAUAUUUAGUAACUCAAAAGGCAUAUACCAAGCUGUCAGAAGCAGCUUCAUUUAAAAGGUAAUUUCAAAUUUUGAAAGGGUCAUUUACUCUUUAAUUUUAC